AGUCCUUAAAUGUUAACAAGAUUCCAUUUCGUGUUCACAUUUCCAGCACAUUUCUGAACUCUUUGCCUUUCCACUUAAAGAAAGAAAACUGGCCCUGAAAUAAGAAUGUCUCAGCAUUUGGUCAUAUCCUCACAGUCUGGCUCCUGAAAGGGCAGAUUUCUGAAUUUGGGCAGAAAUGCCUGGUCACGAAGUCUCGGAGGCCAGUGAUCCCUUAGUAACCUUGCUCCCCCUACAGCCCUGGGCCUGGCCGGUGCUGUGCACCUAGUGGGAGCUAGUGCUGGGUUUCAUGUAAGGGUGAACCCGUGCAAGGGUGGGGAUGCAAGGAGUUGAGCUAACGCAGCAGGACUGGAGUGCAGCCCCCACGCUCUGAGUGGCUGUCCUUGGCUCUCCCUGCAGUGCUCCACCCGCCAGCUGCCUGGGCUUCCUCUGGGACCCUCUUCUCUCUCUUGCUUGGGAUACUUGACUGUGUUCCAGUGACUCCGUGGAACCCCACUUGGUGGGGCCUCCAGCCUUCUCCUUAGUCUUGCCAAUUCACUGCUUAACAUACAGCAACAGUUGACCGGGGGGGGGGGGGGCGGUGCUGGGAGGAAGGGGGGCUGCUCACAUGUGCCAAGCGCCUCGCUCAUCUGUCCUCACAGCAGCAGCCCCGGGAGAUCAGGAUUGCUGUCAUUGCCAUUUCAUAGUGGAGGAGACUAAAGGAGGCAGCCUUUCUCCCUACUCCUGCUGCCCUAGAGAAAUGGAAGAGUGGGCAGAGGCGGAGUGAUAACCUAAGGGAAACGAACGACCUAAGCAGACACAGACGAGAGACACUGGCUGACUCCAGAAGAGAGAGAGGCAACACAAGGCUGAAAGGCCAAGCCAACAAAGGGAGAGGAACCAGAAUCUUCUGCCGGUGCUCAUGGAGUUUAUGAAUACAAGGCAUUAAAGUGCUGGCAAGAAGGAGGCCACAGCCGGCAGGCAGAGCCAUGGCGGCAGAAGAGGACCUGAGCAUCUGAAGAUUCUCACCGCAGCCCUGGUGUCCCUGGAAGAGGAGCUCCCUUCUGGAGAGGGAGGGCUGGGGACAGGGCUGCUCUCCCCCCUGUGAGGGUUGACAUCGGCUGCCAGGCCCCGGGCUGAGGGUUGGGGCAGAUGGUGUUUCCUCCACGGUGUGUGUGGGCCUGGGCCCCACUGCUCAGGGAGGCAGUGGAAUCCGUCCCUCUCUGAGCAGACAGGUGGGGCAUUCACCAGAUUCCACCCUAAAGGCCAGAGCUCAGGGGAGGUGCGCGCACUGGGAAUGUAUUACUUGCAAAGGGAUGUGCUGUGGGUGGGGGACUUUACGCAGAGGGGGCUGCCUCUUGGAGGAGGCCGGGUGUCUUUAGAUGUUCGCUCUCUGGCGGAAGACCGAGGCGGUUUUCCAGUAGAAGGCCCUUCCUUCCCGACACCCCCACUCCUGCCAGUGCGCGUUUUUGAAGGGGCACGGGGAAUGCAAGUGGUGCCUGAUCAUUUCAGGUGUCUGAAAGGCUGUUGGCCGCUGAGGAGCAACACAAACCCCACCUGUGGGGGGCCUCAGGGUCAGCCCCAUACUGAUAGAAGCAGGUGGUGCUUCUCGAUGGGCGCGGGCGCGGUGGCAGAGAAACCCAAGAAGUUGCAGCCGCGCCCCUCCUUGUCUGGAGUGAUGGGGGAGGGAGGAGAGGCGCAUCCUGGCUCUGCUCCCCAGCUGUCUGAGGCAGAUCGACUGGAGUCCAUCUGGCUGUCCCCCUCACCCCCCACCCCCGACCCAGGCUUGCCUCCCACCCUGGGACGUCAAUGCCAUUGGGUCCUGGCUGAGACCUUAGCGGCCUAGAUGAGGGGCAGCUAAGUCCAUGCGCACCUGGGGCUGAGCUGCGUCCUGGGGUGCCGGGGCCCAAGAGCACCAGGUGGACGUCCGUGGGGCUGCACUGUCUUUUCCUAGGCCCCGUGUGAUGGUGGCCACGUGCUGUUCUGGAAGUGCCAUCAAGGGCUCCCCCACCUUCUCCACACCUUGCUCUCUUGCCAGGUCCCAUCCAUUCCUCGUCACCAUCCGUGUACCAUGUUACUGCUACUUUGGAAAGGUACUAUUGAUUAUAUAGAAGCUUGAGAGAAAUCUUUGCCUAUUUUAUAUUUUGCUUGUAUUUUCUAAGCCUUCAGCCCUAGAGUCUAAGUCUUGGGGCCGAGCAUCCUUAAAAACUCUAGAACCAUGAGCCCCAGGGGCCCACAAAUCCUUAGGCCUGGGCCCUGUGGAGCUGCUCUGUCUCUGGUUGAAGGC